rnacentral:rRNA from 1 species
GAUGAACGCUGGCGGCGUGCUUAACACAUGCAAGUCGAACGGUGAAGCAGGAGCUUGCUCUUGUGGAUCAGUGGCGAACGGGUGAGUAACACGUGAGCAACCUGCCCCUGACUCUGGGAUAAGCGCUGGAAACGGCGUCUAAUACUGGAUAUGUGAUGUGACCGCAUGGUCUGCAUCUGGAAAGAAUUUCGGUUGGGGAUGGGCUCGCGGCCUAUCAGCUUGUUGGUGAGGUAAUGGCUCACCCAGGCGUCGACGGGUAGCCGGCCUGAGAGGGUGACCGGCGACACUGGGACUGGUACCCGGCCCAGACUCCUACGGGAGGCGGCAGUGGGGAAUAUUGCACAAUGAGCGGAAGCCUGAUGCAGCAACGACGCGUGAGGGAUGACGGCCUUCGGGUUGUAAACCUCUUUUAGCAGGGAAGAAGCGAAAGUGACGGUACCUGCAGAAAAAGCACCGGCUAACUACGUGCCAGCCGCCGCCGUAA